rnacentral:tRNA from 1 species
GCGAUCGUAGCUCAGUUGGCAGAGCGCCGGCUUGCCAAGUCGGAGGCCAGGGGUUCGAGACCCUUCGUUCGCACCA